GACGAACGCUGGCGGCGUGCUUAACACAUGCAAGUCGAACGAGUGGCGAACGGGUGAGUAACACGUGGGUGACCUGCCCUGCACUUCGGGAUAAGCCUGGGUAACUGGGUCUAAUAUCGGAUAGUGUGGGAUGGGCUCGCGGCCUAUCAGUUUGUUGGUGGGGUAAUGGCUACCAAGGUGCGACGGGUAGCCGGCCUGAGAGGGUGGGCGGCCGCAUUGGACCUGAGACAGUGCCCAAACUCCUACGGGAGGCAGCGGUGAGGAGUAUUGCGCAAUGGGCGGAAGCCUGACCGUGCAACGCAGCGUGAGUGAAGAAGGUUGUCGGAUCGUAAAGAUCUGUUGUUAAGGAAGCGGUGCUUAACCAGAAAAGGACGGAUAACUACGUGCCAGGAGCCGCGGUAAUAC
rnacentral:rRNA from 1 species